GAGAGUCAGCUAUGCCACAUGCUAUGUAAGUCCUGAAGUCGGCUUCCAACUUCUCUGCAAACUGAAGUCAACUAUCUGCCACACAUAAAUACAUGUGUAUUGUUAGAACAACGAUGCUAUCUACACUCAUAUGCCUCAGCAAAACAACGUCAGAUAAUCACUUGCAGAUUGAUGUCCUGAUCAGUCUGAGCAUAAGAAUAUCCACUGAAACAACUCUGUAAAUAAUAGAUCUCUGAGUUGCUGCAGUGCUACCCAUGCAUGGAAAUACAGAGUUGCUCCAGCCUGUCAGACCCGAGUUGGUCUGAAGAUCAAGAUUCAGAAACAAUAACUGAAAUGACUUUAUAGCCUUACAACUUGGAGGAAAAAGAAGGAAAAGCAAAAUGGAGUAGUUGGCUCUCUGAAGGCUCGCCGGAAAGCCAACAGCGACACAGGACGCUCUCGCAGCCGUUAGGUGCUGAUCGGACGCCAUCUGAGUCUUCAUAACUAGCGAAGCGGUACGGGGACAGGAGAAGCACCAGAGUUGUCUCGUUCAAACUUAACUGAAUCGACGAUGCAGUGUUGAAUUCUUCAGAGAACACAUACUUGGGUCCUGACGCAGCCUUGUCAUCUUAGCGAGUAGGUGGUUGUGCUAUCACCUCCUCCAGCGCAAAAAUCAUUUCUGAGUUAUAC
rnacentral:lncRNA from 1 species